UACGGUAGGGGGCUAGCGUUGUCCGGAAUCAUUGGGCGUAAAGCGCGCGUAGGCGGCCCGGUAAGUCCGCUGUAAAAGUCCAGGGCUCAACCCUGGAAAGCCGGUGGAUACUGUCGGGCUCGAGUCCGGAAGAGGCGAGUGGAAUUCCUGGUGUAGCGGUGAAAUGCGCAGAUAUCAGGAAGAACACCUAUGGCGAAGGCAGCUCUCUGGGACGGUACUGACGCUGAGACGCGAAAGCGUGGGGAGCGAACAGG
rnacentral:rRNA from 1 species